rnacentral:lncRNA from 1 species
GCUGAACACGCAGAGUCAAAAGCCCACUGCCGCACUUUUACCGUCACCUUAAGUACUACUGCCGCAUUUAGAAGCUGUCAUUUCCAGUAGCAGCGACUGCAACGACGAGGACAUCAGCCGUGCUUGUGGAAAGAUGUUUUCCCGGUAAUUUGGACAGCCCGGAAUUGCCGCAAGACAAAAAACGACGAUUCAAGCUGUGCUUCAUACAUUGAGAAAUAGAGUCGACGGCGGCAACACAUACAGAGAAGUAAAAUGAAGACAUGGCAGGCUGCGCUGUUGAUUGUUACGGCAAGCUAUGUGUCUUCUAUUUGUGACGAAUGCUGGCGAGACAACGAAUGGAAAGUGAUAUGCUACACCUAUGAAGUACCGGAGGAUUUGUGCCCCGCAGUUCCUUGGACAUAUUGCAAUAAAAGAAGGCGGCGAUGCGUUUGCGGCUGCAAAUAUGGAACGUUUAGGAGGAUGGACUGGGCAUGCGUGCCGUAUAGAGA